UGUAGCUCAAUGGUAGAGCACUUGCCUCACAUGCACAAGGCCCUGGGUGCAAUCCCCAGCA
rnacentral:tRNA from 1 species